CGGUGUGGAGGAGCGAGAGUGGCGAGCUGCGCAGCCGCCCCGCGUUGAAGCAGGUGCGACGUCAGGCCGCAGCAACGCGUUGAGCAGGUGCGACGUCAGGCCGCAGCAGCGCGGGAGGCUGAGUGAAACCUCCCCUAACGUUGCCCAGAGAAGUGGAGAGGGCUUUCUGUUAGAAACUGUACAGCAGCCUGAAGAGAAAUGAACUUUUCCAUAAACAAUUUUGACGCUAAUCUAGUUUGACGUACGUUAGAACAAGCAAUCAGAAAAUUUGCUUUUUGUGUAUGUUUUCGUUUACUAUCGGUAUGUAAACUGAAUUUCCACAGGCACGAGAAAGUCUGGACCUUCUAAAAUAACAACAGAUCUGCGAUGAAGCACAAUAAGCUAUCAUGAGCCACACCUGGAAAGUCUGAGAUACUGUGCCUUGAAAGAACAUUGAUGUGCGCCUGAAGAAAAAUAUACCAUCAUGUCCACAGAUUAGCAGAUUAUCUGGGAAAAAGUAUAAUCACAAAAUGACUAGGUUAAUCUAAGAAAAUAUAUGGUCCAAAGACAGCUAGGUUAUUUGAGAGCACAGUCCAGUAGAAGAGUAGGUCAUCUGGGAGAACUAUAAAUCAACAGAUCAACCAUAUAGAAUGGAUGUAUUUAAAAUGUAAGAGAGCAGAUCUUUUGUGGGAAAGUCAAUCAGCCUUGCCUAUACAAGGAAUCAUAUAACUUAACUGUGGGAAAAUCAAAGUUAACUGUAAGUAAUAGAUCAGGUGAAGACACAUACUUCCUACCCAAUUGGGUAUAUAAAACUACCAAAUCCUAGUGAACUGUGUAGAUGUCAUGUUGUCUUCAGUGCUGCAUCUGCGGAACUGACCUGCACAGCUACUUACACAGGAUACCAGCUUGCUUCUUUGCAAUGCAGCGUAACCCACACCUGCAGGAAAUCAGUUGGAACUACUGCAGACAGUCGGAAGCGCCACACGGUCAACCGCUCAUGGGAGAAACUGUUUUUCACCUCUAGGUUCAUACAAGGCUUGACUUCACUUCUGGGCCCAGAGGACCCAGCAUGGAGGACCACUGGCAGAAAUCUGGCCUGCAAAUCUCCUGCACUAGGGCAUGUGCAGACAACGAGUGUUCAAGCACGAAAUGGUUAAGUCUGCCAGUGUUAGAUAAUGUAACUGUAAGAAGUAAAAUUUUGUGCCACUACUGUUUUCUACUGGUCUUUUUCCUGGUUUGGCCCCCGUGUGAAUAGUUCUGUGAUUUCCAAGUGGUGCAGUGUGGGAUCAGAUAGGGGAAGCUGAUGGGCCUGCUAAUUUUGAAUGCAGGGAAAGAAGAACCAAACCCAAGAGGGUCUGACAGUGAUAAAGACAGGGACAAAGAACUUGUCGACUAUAAAUCUGCACCUUUAAUUUUCUGUCCGGAAAAGGUAUUUGCAUGAGAAAGCAGGGGGAGACUGAAGGUGCCUGAUGCCCUCAACAAGGAGACUGGGAGAUGGGCUGAGAAAGAGGGGAGGCUGCAGUCCCUGAAAUUAGAUGAGAGAGGAAUGAGCGUAACAGGCAAACACAGUGGAAGCCAGUAGAUACGGCGGGGCCAAGGAGAGUAAGGCAAAGUCUGAAUGAAUCCCAGGAAAGAACAGGAGUUUGAUGGUGGAGUCGCAGGUGAGAAAGGUUUGUCUGAGAUUGAAACCAAGUCACGAGUUGCUGGAUGUUGGAAGAAAUCAGAGAAUCAAGAAUAAAAAAAGAGAAGGGGUAACUGGGGAAUUUCA
ensembl:lncRNA